GACGAACGCUGGCGGCGUGCUUAACACAUGCAAGUCGAACGGAAAGGCCCCCUUGUGGGGUACUCGAGUGGCGAACGGGUGAGUAACACGUGAGUAAACUACCCUUGACUUUGGGAUAACUUCAGGAAACUGGGGCUAAUACCGGAUAGGAGCUCCUGCUGCAUGGUGGGGGUUGGAAAGUUUCGGCGGUUGGGGAUGGGCUCGCGGCUUAUCAGCUUGUUGGUGGGGUAGUGGCUCACCAAGGCUUUGACGGGUAGCCGGCCUGAGAGGGUGACCGGCCACAUUGGGACUGAGAUACGGCCCAGACUCCUACGGGAGGCAGCAGUGGGGAAUAUUGCACAAUGGGCGGAAGCCUGAUGCAGCAACGCCGCGUGCGGGAUGACGGCCUUCGGGUUGUAAACCGCUUUCGCCUGUGACGAAGCGUGAGUGACGGUAAUGGGUAAAGAAGCACCGGCUAACUACGUG
rnacentral:rRNA from 1 species